rnacentral:rRNA from 1 species
ACAAGCCUGAGAAACGGCUAGUAGGACUAAGGUCUGCAGCAGGCGCGAAACUUACACAAUGCUAGAUUUUGUUAAUUAGCGAUGUAGUGAAGAAAAAUAACGAUGUACUUGUAUUUAAACAUACUAGUACAAUUGGAAUGAGACGACUCUAAACCAGUUAGUCGAGUAACAAAUGGAGGGCAAGUCUGGUGCCAGCAGCCGCGGUAAUUCCAGCUCCAUUAGCAUACAUUAAAGUUGUUGCGGUUAAAAAGCUCGUAGUUGAAGUUUUGGGUGUUUGUUAGAUGAUGUUUCACUAAGGGAUCUUCGGAUCCUGAAACAACUAUCUAAUAGGCGCCGGUUUCGUCACUUAAUCGAGUGCGAAGCGGGGUCGAUUUGAAAUUUUUAACUAAAUUUUCAGAACGACCAUGUUUACCUUGAGAAAAUUAGAGUGCUCAGAGCAGGCAGUUUUGGUGUAAAAGCCGAUUUAUGCUUGAAUAAUGUUGCAUGGAAUAAUAGAAUACGGCCUCGGUUCUAUUCUGUUGGUCUUAUAGAACAACAAACAGGUGUGUUAUAAAGGCUGGGUAUAGGUUGUCUUAAAGGUAAAAAAUUUAAGUACCCUACCAUAAAACAGUCUUAACUAUCACCGGAGGCAAUGGUUAAAAGAAAUAGUCGCGGCGGCAUCAGUACUGCAUCGUGAGAG